rnacentral:rRNA from 1 species
CGAGAAAGCCCGCAAGGGUGAGUAAAGCGGCGCACGGGUGCGUAACACGUGGGUAAUCUGCCCUGAAGUCCGGAAUAACUCGCCGAAAGGCGUGCUAAUGCCGGAUGAGACCACGGGGUCUUCGGACCUCGCGGGAAAAGGUGGCCUCUGUAUACAAGCUAUCGCUUCAGGAUGAGCCCGCGGCCCAUCAGCUAGUUGGCGGGGUAAAGGCCCACCAAGGCAACGACGGGUAGCUGGUCUGAGAGGACGAUCAGCCACACUGGAACUGAGACACGGUCCAGACUCCUACGGGAGGCAGCAGUGGGGAAUCUUGCGCAAUAGGCGAAAGCCUGACGCAGCAACGCCGCGUGUGUGAUGAAGGUCUUCGGAUCGUAAAGCACUGUCGCGAGGGACG